AAUGACUGGUUUCACGUGUCCAUCCAUGUCUGAAUCAGCUGUUACUGUCCUUGUUGCAGUUUCUGUCCAUGGUGGUCUGAUAUCUCAAAGCUGAUCAAGUUCCUGGUGGGUCUCCUGUCUCAAGCAGUAGAGUGGGAGGAGCAGUCAGGAGAGAAGACACUGAAGCUGGUAUCAUCAGUGUGUACUUACAGAACCUUCCCUUUCUGUGACGGGGAUGAUGAGGAUGAGUGGUUUCAAUGUGAUCUCCUGCUGGAUCUGUACUCACAUGUGGAGGACUAUGAGACUAAAACAGGCAGGAGUGUCCUUCCAUCAUUGAGACCACUUUAUCAGUCAGCUCCUGCAGUCUGGUCCAUAGACCUCUCAGAGAGAAAGGCCUCCCUCCUCCUAGAAGUGCUGAAACUCCAACCAGAGAAGAAACCAGUACAGCUGAAAGGCUGGUCAGAUGAAGAGAGUGAAGUGAGGAGUUUCCUUCAGUGUCUGCCUUACAUCUCACAGCUGAGGUGAGUUGGAUCAGUACAGCUCAGGUGAGUUGGAUCAGUACAGCUCAGGUGAGUUGGAUCAGUACAGCUCAGGUGAGUUGGAUCAGUACAGCUCAGGUGAGUUGGAUCAGUACAGCUCAGGUGAGUUGGAUCAGUACAGCUCAGGUGAGUUGGAUCAGUACAGCUCAGGUGAGUUGGAUCAGUACAGCUCAGGGAUUGUUGUCUGUCCCUGUAUUUCACUUUUAAAAAGGAAGUUUGUUCGUAACAACCGAAUAUGCUAAACAUACACAUACUGUUUUGGAAAGAUACAAUCUUACUUUGUGGUGAUGAUUAUAAGGAACAGUUGAAGUGGAUGAUGAGUUUAGAAAGAUACAGUCUUACUUUGUGGUGAUGAUUAUAAGGAACAGUUGAAGUGGAUGAUGAGUUUAGAAAGAUAGUCAUGUUAUUUGACCUGCUAUAAUGUGACCAUCUGAAAUGCAGAUUAUAUCUCACAUAUUCAUCUAUUUGUUGUUAAACUGUUCAUGCAGUUUUACUCCACCACAGUAUCAGAGAAGAUCCCCUGAAGAGUGGAGAAAGAGAGAGAAGACAUUCCUACUGAAUCUGUGUCUUCAAGCAGCCCUCCAUGAGAGAGAAACCAUACAAACAACUGUAGGGAAAGUGUUGUCACUGUCUGAAGUUUAUCAGGGUCGGAAAUGGGAUCUCCUGCUGGAUCUGUACUCUCACGUGAAGGACUAUGAGACUAAAACAGGCAGGAGUGUCCUUCCAGCAUUACAGCCAGUUUACCAGUCAGCUCCUGCAGUCUGGUCCAUAGACCUCUCAGAGAGAAAGGCUUCCCUCCUCCUUGAAGUGCUGAAACUCCAACCAGAGAAGAAAUCAGUAGAGCUGUGGGACUGGUCAGAUGAAGAGAGUGAAGUGAGGAGUUUCCUUCAGUGUCUGCCCUACAUCUCACAGCUGAGUUUCUGUCCAUGGUGGUCUGAUAUCUCAAAGCUGAUCAAGUUCCUGGUGGGUCUCCUGUCUCAAGCAGUAGAGUGGGAGGAGCAGUCAGGAGAGAAGACACUGAAGCUGGUAUCAUCAGUGUGUACUUACAGAACCUUCCCUUUCUGUGACGGGGAUGAUGAGGAUGAGUGGUUUCAAUGUGAUCUCCUGCUGGAUCUGUACUCACAUGUGGAGGACUAUGAGACUAAAACAGGCAGGAGUGUCCUUCCAUCAUUGAGACCACUUUAUCAGUCAGCUCCUGCAGUCUGGUCCAUAGACCUCUCAGAGAGAAAGGCCUCCCUCCUCCUAGAAGUGCUGAAACUCCAACCAGAGAAGAAACCAGUACAGCUGAAAGGCUGGUCAGAUGAAGAGAGUGAAGUGAGGAGUUUCCUUCAGUGUCUGCCUUACAUCUCACAGCUGAGUUUUACUCCACCACAGUAUCAGAGAAGAUCCCCUGAAGAGUGGAGAAAGAGAGAGAAGACAUUCCUACUGAAUCUGUGUCUUCAAGCAGCCCUCCAUGAGAGAGAAACCAUACAAACAACUGUAGGGAAAGUGUUGUCACUGUCUGAAGUUUAUCAGGGUCGGAAAUGGGAUCUCCUGCUGGAUCUGUACUCUCACGUGAAGGACUAUGAGACUAAAACAGGCAGGAGUGUCCUUCCAGCAUUACAGCCACUUUACCAGCCAGCUCCUGCAGUCUGGUUCAUAGAUCUCAGAAAGAGAAACGUCUCCCUCCUCCUAGAAGUGCUGAAACUCCAACCAGAGAAGAAAUCAGUAGAGCUGUGGGACUGGUCAGAUGAAGAGAGUGAAGUGAGGAGUUUCCUUCAGUGUCUGCCCUACAUCUCACAGCUGAGUUUCUGUCCAUGGUGGUCUGAUAUCUCAAAGCUGAUCAAGUUCCUGGUGGGUCUCCUGUCUCAAGCAGCAGAGUGGGAGGAGCAGUCAGGAGAGAAGACACUGAAGCUGGUGUCAUCAGUGUGUACUUACAGAACCUUCCCUUUCUGUGACAGGGAUGAUGAGGAUAAGUGGUUUCAAUGUGAUCUCCUGCUGGAUCUGUACUCACAUGUGGAGGACUAUGAGACUAAAACAGGCAGGAGUGUCCUUCCAUCAUUGAGACCACUUUACCAGUCAGCUCCUGCAGUCUGGUCCAUAGACCUCUCAGAGAGAAAGGCCUCCCUCCUCCUAGAAGUGCUGAAACUCCAACCAGAGAAGAAACCAGUACAGCUGAAAGGCUGGUCAGAUGAAGAGAGUGAAGUGAGGAGUUUCCUUCAGUGUCUGCCUUACAUCUCACAGCUGAGUUUUACUCCACCACAGUAUCAGAGAAGAUCCCCUGAAGAGUGGAGAAAGAGAGAGAAGACAUUCCUACUGAAUCUGUGUCUUCAAGCAGCCCUCCAUGAGAGAGAAACCAUACAAACAACUGUAGGGAAAGUGUUGUCACUGUCUGAAGUUUAUCACAAUCAGAAAUGGGAGCUCCUGCUGGAUCUGUAUUCUCAUGUGAAGGACUAUGAGACUCAAACAGGCAGGAGUGUCCUUCCAGCAUUACAGCCAGUUUACCAGUCAGCUCCUGCAGUCUGGUCCAUAGACCUCAGAAAGAGAAUGGUCUCCCUCCUCCUAGAAGUGCUGAAACUCCAACCAGAGAAGAAACCAGUACAGCUGAAAGGCUGGUCAGAUGAAGAGAGUGAAGUGAGGAGUUUCCUUCAGUGUCUGCCCUACAUCUCACAGCUGAGUUUCUGUCCAUGGUGGUCUGAUCCCUCAAAGCUGAUCAAGUUCCUGGUGGGUCUCCUGUCUCAAGCAGCAGAGUGGGAGGAGCAGUCAGGAGAGAAGACACUGAAGCUGGUGUCAUCAGUGUGUACUUACAGAACCUUCCCUUUCUGUGACGAGGUUUAUUUUGAUGAGUCGUUUCAAUGGGAUCUCCUGCUGGAUCUGUAUUCACAUGUGAAGGACUAUGAGACUCAAACAGGCAGGAGUGUCCUUCCAGCAUUACAGCCAGUUUACCAGCCAGCUCCUGCAGUCUGGUUCAUAGAUCUCUCAGAGAGAAAGGUCUCCCUCCUCCUAGAAGUGCUGAAACUCCAACCAGAGAAGAAAUCAGUAGAGCUGAAAGGCUGGUCAGAUGAAGAGAGUGAAGUGAGGAGUUUCCUUCAGUGUCUGCCCUACAUCUCACAGCUGAGGUUUGCUCCACCACAGGAUCAGAUAGGAUCCCCUGAAGAGUGGAGAAAGAGAGAGAAGACAUUCCUACUGAAUCUGUGUCUUCAAGCAGCCCUCCAUGAGAGAGAAACCAUACAAACAACUGUAGAGAAAGUGUUGUCACUGUCUGAAGUUUAUCAGGGUCGGAAAUGGGAUCUCCUACUGGAUCUGUACUCUCAUGUGAAGGACUAUGAGACUCAAACAGGCAGGAGUGUCCUUCCAGCAUUACAGACAGUUUACCAGUCAGCUCCUGCAGUCUGGUCCAUAGACCUCAGAGAGAGAAAGGUCUCCCUCCUCCUAGAAGUGCUGAAACUCCAACCAGAGAAGAAAUCAGUAGAGCUGAAAGGCUGGUCAGAUGAAGAGAGUGAAGUGAGGUGUUUCCUUCAGUGUCUGCCCUACAUCUCACAGCUGAGUUUCUGUCCAUGGUGGUCUGAUAUCUCAAAGCUGAUCAAGUUCCUGGUGGGUCUCCUGUCUCAAGCAGCAGAGUGGGAGGAGCAGUCAGGAGAGAAGACACUGAAGCUGGUGUCAUCAGUGUGUAUUUACAGAACCUUCCCUUUCUGUGACGGGGAUGAUUUUGAUGAGUCGUUUCAAUGUGAUUUCCUGCUGGAUCUGUAUUCACAUGUGAAGGACUAUGAGACUCAAACAGGCAGGAGUGUCCUUCCAACAUUACAGACAGUUUACCAGUCAGCUCCUGCAGUCUGGUCCAUAGACCUCUCAGAGAGAAAGGCCUCCCUCCUCCUAGAAGUGCUGAAACUCCAACCAGAGAAGAAACCAGUAGAGCUGAAAGGCUGGUCAGAUGAAGAGAGUGAAGUGAGGAGUUUCCUUCAGUGUCUGCCCUACAUCUCACAGCUGAGCUGUGAUUCUGACAGGUUCUUCCAGCGUGUGUGUGAAUCCAUCCCUGUGAGGUCCAGAGAGGAUGCCCAGCAGUUGGCCUCUCUCCUCCAGGCCUUGGGCUCCACCCUGUCACUGGGAGGACAGUUACCCAGGAAAACCUGCAGGUCUGUGGUGAGAGUGCUUGGCCUCUGUGCCUCCAGAGUGGACCUCACUCUCACCCCCAGCAAGAUCUCUCUGAAAGGAGCCUCACUUCUCUUCACACAUGUAUCACAGCUACACAAGCUCAGGCUGAAUGUGGGCAUGGCAGUGAGACUGGCCAGACUGGCUAGGAGGACAGGGAGAGGGGGUUCUCCACUGACUGUCCCAGAGCUCUCCCUGGUCCUAAAGAGCAGCCAGCCACCAGAGAAAGUGUUAUCCAGGGCUCUGAGUAGUGUGGCGUCCCUGCUGAGACUCUGGACGGUGCAGUGUCUGGACCUGACUGACUUCUGCAUCCAGGGUCACUCUCUCAUCACACUACUUUGUCACCAAGGCCCUCUCACUCUCAGACUGCACUCAGACACCCUGCAGCAGCUGGCUGUAGUUGUGUAUGAAGCUCAGGACAAGGACUUGACUCGGUGGUUCCUGGAGAAGGUUGGUGGAGACCUGACCUCCUGUAGGCUGGACUGGGAGGUGCUUCUCUCUCUGCUGCAGCAUUCAACCCACAACAUCACAGUGGACCUCAGGAAGAACAGGCUUCUAGAGAAGAACAUCUCAGAUCUUUUCCCCUUUCUGGGAAGGGUUAUAUUCAAGAGGCUCAGUUCCAGCUUUGUGAAGUCCACCAUCAGACAGAUCUAUGACAGUAGAGCCAGUGACUGUGUGUCCAGUUUGUUGAGGUCUUCAGACCAUUGGAUCAACCUGAACAGCAGAGAGCUGGACAGAGUGGACUGUACUGCGCUGUGUUUCACCCUGCAGCACAGCCACCAAGUCAAAGUCAACCUGCUGUGGACCUCCAUACCACCGGGGGAGAUAGAGAGCAUCCUGCCUCUUCUGGACAGAGUCUCCCAACUCAGUGUUGACAGGAUGCUGUUGCUGAGUUUCCUCCACUCCUGCGCUGCCUCUCAGAUCCUGCAGGGGGCACUAUCACCACCUUCAGCAAUAACAACAGCAGCAGCAGAGCUGCUCAGGGCUCUGCAGCACAGGUUGGACUUCUCCUGCUCCUCCUCUGUGGACCUGUCGGCUCACGACCAGGGGGAGGCGCUGUGUCUGACCACUGACCACUGUAGGGCCAUAAACUCUGUUCUGAAGCAGAGCCAGCACAGCACACAGCUGGUUCAGAACCCGACCCAGAACCAGUCCCGAAACCAGCCCCAGGUGCAGCUCAUCCUUAAAGACUGUGAGGUGGAGCACGGAGCACUGAGAGAGCUGCUUCCCAUCCUGCAUAUUGUCAAGCUGAGCCCCAGCAAAGCUCUGCUACUUCAGCUGGUGGACCAUGUGUGUGAGGGGAUUGAAGAGGGAGUGCUGAGGAACGCAGUAUCCCUGUGCAGAGCCCUGGAUGGGGAGCUGGACCUCAGUGAGACCAGGCUGAACCAAAAGGCCUGUGGAUCUCUGGCCCUGGUUCUGGAACACUCAGAGGGGCUGUCAGAACUGGACCUCAGCCACUGCCAACUCACAGACCGCCAUCUACAGCCCCUGCUCACACACCUGCACAAAGUUGAAGUCCUUGACCUGAGUCACAAUGACAUCACUGAUGCUCUGACCGACAGAAUUCUCCAACUGGUCUCCACCAACACUUCAAUCCGCACCGUACGGCUCUUCAGCAACAGAAUCAAGGACAGAAGUCCGUUCCUGACAGACAAGAGGUUUGACAUCUGGUGA
rnacentral:lncRNA from 1 species